UUUCAUAGUAUUUGGCCAGGUGCCUGAAAAGGCUUAAUAGGGAAGACCGGUGAAAAACCGGCGCGGUCCCGCCACUGUAAUGGGGAGCAAACCCAAGAUAUACCACUGAGACGAAACCGUCUUGGGAAGGUUUGGGUGAGCCAUGAUCCAGAGCCAGGAGAACUGCCUGUCUGACAAUCACCGUU
rnacentral:ncRNA from 19 species